rnacentral:rRNA from 1 species
UGCAAGUCGAACGGUGAACACGGAGCUUGCUCUGUGGGAUCAGUGGCGAACGGGUGAGUAACACGUGAGCAACCUACCCCUGACUCUGGGAUAAGCGCUGGAAACGGCGUCUAAUACUGGAUAUGUGGCGUGACCGCAUGGUCUGCGUCUGGAAAGAAUUUCGGUUGGGGAUGGGCUCGCGGCCUAUCAGCUUGUUGGUGAGGUAAUGGCUCACCAAGGCGUCGACGGGUAGCCGGCCUGAGAGGGUGACCGGCCACACUGGGACUGAGACACGGCCCAGACUCCUACGGGAGGCAGCAGUGGGGAAUAUUGCACAAUGGGCGCAAGCCUGAUGCAGCAACGCCGCGUGAGGGAUGACGGCCUUCGGGUUGUAAACCUCUUUUAGCAGGGAAGAAGCGAAAGUGACGGUACCUGCAGAAAAAGCGCCGGCUAACUACGUGCCAGCAGCCGCGGUAAUACGUAGGGCGCAAGCGUUAUCCGGAAUUAUUGGGCGUAAAGAGCUCGUAGGCGGUUUGUCGCGUCUGCUGUGAAAUCCGGAGGCUCAACCUCCGGCCUGCAGUGGGUACGGGCAGACUAGAGUGCGGUAGGGGAGAUUGGAAUUCCUGGUGUAGCGGUGGAAUGCGCAGAUAUCAGGAGGAACACCGAUGGCGAAGGCAGAUCUCUGGGCCGUAACUGACGCUGAGGAGCGAAAGGGUGGGGAGCAAACAGGCUUAGAUACCCUGGUAGUCCACCCCGUAAACGUUGGGAACUAAGUUGUGGGGGUCCAUUCCACGGAUUCCGUGACGCAGCUAACGCAUUUAAGUUCCCCGCCUGGGGAGUACGGGCCGCAA